rnacentral:rRNA from 1 species
UACGGAGGGUGCAAGCGUUGCUCGGAAUUACUGGGCGUAAAGGGCGUGUAGGCGGUUUCGUAUGUCUGGCGUGAAAGCCCCGGGCUCACCUCGGGAAGUGCGUCGGAAACUGCGAGACUAGAGUCCCGGAGAGGAAGGUGGAAUUCCAGGUGUAGCGGUGAAAUGCGUAGAUAUCUGGAAGAACACCGGUGGCGAAGGCGGCCUUCUGGACGGUGACUGACGCUGAGACGCGAAAGCGUGGGGAGCAAACAGG